rnacentral:rRNA from 1 species
CGUAGGUGGUUUGGUAAGUCAGAAGUGAAAGCCCUCGGCUUAAACCGGGGAACCUGCUUUUGAAACUGCCAUGCUAGAGUACGGGAGAGGAAGGUAGAAUUCCUGGUGUAGCGGUGAAAUGCGUAGAUAUCAGGAAGAAUACCGGCGGCGAAGGCGGCCUCCUGGCCCGAUACUGACACUGAGGCGCGAAAGCGUGGGGAGCGAACA